GUACUUGCUUCGGCAGUACAUAUACUAAAAUUGGAACGAUACAGAGAAGAUUAGUAUAUGUACUGGCGAAGCAAGUACAAUAAUAAUAAUUUAUUUGCAACAUAUCU